UUUACAUGAUACCCUCCCCUUAGAUACACGAAAUGGUGUGUCUCGUUCCCCAAUUUUUAAUCCUUCUUCUUCGUUCCUCUAAAUCAAAAGAAGCAGACCAUAAGUAGGUGAGGAAAACGAACGCCUAAAAAUAGUGAGAGACCGCCCCCAUCGUUCUGAUCCUCUCAAAAAAUUGGAAACCCAGCAAUGACAAACGACCUCCCAUCUCCGGCGAGCUUCACCUUCACUCACACACAUACGCACUCAUGAAAGAAUGAGUAAAAAAAGUGCACUUCAGAUUUGUCCUGCUUCAUCUCUGCCUCAAAUUCGAAAAAAUCAAAAGUAAUAUAGGUUCGAGCCUGACUAAGAGCUGACAUCCGCUUGAGGUCUCGUUUGAUUUUGUUUGAGUUCGCCGUUGUUUGUCGUCCAGAUUUGGUUCGCUCGAUUUCUGUCCAUUUCCGAUUUCGGCCACAGCAGUUGGUUCGUCCUGCUUGUUAAUUUUGCUUGAAAUUUCAGUCAUGUCAGAGCUCUAAUUUUCGGAUCCGGGUGGGUUCUACAGUUUCCGGUGAGAUUGCCAGUCGAGGUUGGAGAUUUCCGGCGAGGUUUCCGGUCAUAUUUGGGUUCCGUCGAGGCUUUUCGAACUCCGUUCGACGGGCUUUUCUCCUCUGAUUUGUAGCUGGCAUUUUCCUUCUGUAAUUCGAUAUAGUGAAGAAAGGUUUUGAUCUCAACGAUUUUUGGCAACGAGCAUGCUGAAUUAGAACUGUGGGAAAUUCAAUGAAUCAACUGAUCCAUUGAUCAGGUGAGUUGAAUUUUCCAUUGUCUUUAUAUAUAUGUGAUCAUGGAUUCCAUUCAGAUUCUCGUUUUUUCUUCUUUUUAAUAUUACAAAUAUGGGUAUUAGAAAAUUUAGUGAAUUCUGGAUAGAUUAAAAGAAUUGAUUAAUUGGGUUCUGUGUUUGGAUUGAAAUGCCAACAAAUUGAUGUAUUGAGAAUUGUUAUGUAAAUGGGGGUGAUUUCUUCUUAACAAUGACUGGGGUAUAUAGUAUAUACGCUAUAUAUACAUUUGAUAUACAGAGAUAGUAGUGAACCAGUUGAGUUUUGAGUUUAAUCUAUCUUUCAAUUCUACUGCUUAUAUGAAUACAUCUUUCUCAUGUUUUCAUGACAUUUUCUUGCCUAGAUGUGAAUGAGUUUGUGUAGCCUAUCUUGAAAGGUAUCCAUUAGUUUCAGUUAUUCAAUAAUAUGAAUUGUUGGUUUGGUACAGUUCUUCGAUGAUGCAUCAGUUGGCUAAGAAGGCAGUGAUGUUGUUGAAAGUAUUUCCUAUUAAUUAAUUGGAUUAGCCAUUGGUAUUGAAAAUUGAUUUCAGCCGUAGGUUAAUUUUGAGGCAAGAUGAAGUUAGGUUGAGGCUUGGUUGAUACUGAGACGAGCCUCGCUGAAUAAAUAUACAAAUGCGGGGCCCUCAAUAAAUGGUUAGUAAAACACUUAGAAGCUCGGGACGGGCCGUUUAGCGAAUUUCACGGUCUUCACAAAAGAUAACAACGCGUUAGUAUCUUUAGACGCGAUUUUAAUAAAGUUACAUUCUUAAACUCGGGUGUGCAUUUCAUGCGACCCAAAUCAAAUCUCAAAACGUUGAAUAGAGUGUGCUUAGGAUGGCGGGUGCAUUUCAUGUGACGGGAUCCGAAAGCACGCUUUAAAUAACGUUCAACUUCCUUUUAAAAAUAUAUAUUGAAUAAAAACGGUAAAUAGUAAAAUUGGCACACGAGUUCUUCAUGUAAUAUAAUCUGAUAAACAAGAUAAAUGCGACAGUUGAGUGACUGUGCUAGAACCACGGGAUCCGGGGGUUCCUAACACCUUUCCUCGGGUCAACAGAAUUCCUUAUUCUGGAUUUCUGGUUCGCAGACUCCAAUUGGGAAGUCGAAAUUUUCCUCAAUUUGGGAUUCAAGUUAAACCGGUGACUUGAGAUACCAAAAGUCAAUCCUAUCCCAAGUGGCGACUCUAAGAAUAAAUAAUCUCAAUUCGAAUAAUGUCACUUCAAAUGAAAAAACUCACUUAUACAUUUAUCCUUAGGGGUAGUGUGUAAAAAGGAGGUGUGACACCCAAUACUCCAAAACUGGGGCAGAAGUUUGCUUUAUUUUACGUUUUCUUUUAUAGAAAUAGUUCCAAAAAUUGUAAUUUAGUUCAAGGUUCUUUUUGCCUUUUCCAUGUUAAGAACUUUUGAUCGAUCUUUGAGAAUAUUUGAAGUCCCCAUGCCAAAGGCAUUGGGCAACCUUCCGCAUGUCGUAUCUUAGUUAAAAAAAGAGGCAAAAAAGAAAGAAAGAAAUGGGAGAGUAUUAUCGGUGAAAAGCCGUAUGGACACUAUAAGGUUACAUUGAGCAGAGAAAUGAGAGUUUUAUUGGUGAAAACACAUAUUGGCACCAUAAGGUGACGAUGAGUAGAGAAAGAAGAGAGGCCAUUUAGCGAAAACCCGCAAAGGUCACUACUAGCAGAAUGAGGGUCUUCGAUACCUCGGCAUUAGCACAAUAAAGACAAUUUCAACAUGAACAUUUGCAACAGAUUUUGAGAAUUAGACAGCUCAGAGAGAUCAGGCGUCCAGUCCAAAGUGAAUGUCAUGAUUUAUUGAAAUCGGCACACUCCUCCAUAUAAGUCUCCCUAUUCCUCUUCCCGAAAGGGACACCUUUUGUUUAGACAUAGUUGUUUUUUCGCUUUCAGUUGCUCUUCUAUGUUUCCCCAUAAUUUUUUGAGUCCCUUUUGGUCUAAUCUUGCAUAAAAAGUGAAGCAAAGGAAUGGCUACAAAGUUGGCUACAGUUUCCCUGUAGUACCGUGCACAAUUUGGAGCAUAUGCGGCAUUGACAAAAGCAGGAAUCCAUUGUGAUAUCUUUUGAUAAGUAAGAUAAAGUGUCUCAAAGAAACUGCAAAAGUUGCUUAAGCAAGACUUGCUUCAUGGGAAAAGUUGAUAAACAAUAGUGACACAAACCGGUUCCGGGUGCAAGACAACUAAGUUUUAUUUUAAAGAAAAAUUGCAUUACCUUAAGGACAAGGGUUAGCGGUACCAUGGACAUUUGGGUAUGAAACAAACAAGGGCAAUGUCAGAAAGACAAGGUCUCCAGAAAGUGAUACAGACUAUCCGGGCACAGCGGUACCAUACUGACAAAAUUGGUUCUUCGACAGCUGAGUGGCUGUGAAUUCAAACUACUUGGGACAUCAAGGCCACAAACCGGCGACCACUUUGAAAAGUCACAAAUUUUUCUUUGUUUGAAAGCAGGAACAAAGCAAUACAGAAUAGCGUUUCUUAAAGGACGAUGUGAGCACGUGAUUUUGCCCUAUAUGUGAACUACUACCAAAAAAUUCAAAAAAAUAAAAUAAUUUUGUUUGUUUGCAAUUGUCGUGAAUUUUAUGCUAUUUUUUUGUAUUGUUUGCAUUUAUCUGUGCAUGUUUACUUGUUAAUUUAAUAAAAAAUACAAAAAUAUGUUGCAUUUGCAUUUAGGAUUUAACUCUACAUUUGGGAGUAAUUACGUUUGUUUUACGAAAUAAAAAAUCACAAAAAAUAAUUUACUUUGCAUACUUAGCACUUAAUGUCCAAUUGAGUGAUAUUAUGUUUAGUUGGUAUUCAAUUAGGUGUGAUAAUUAUUAUUAGAAGUUAAUUAGUAUUUUUGAUAAGUUAAUUUGGUUUUGUUAAAUUAAUUUAGGAUUCUAGGUUUUAAUUUUGAAAAAACUAAUUCAGGAAGAAAGAAAGGAAAAUCAACAAAAAAAGAGGUAAAUAAUAAAACCCGGAUUUGGGCCAAUUCUAAUUUAAUUCAGCCAAGCCCAAAAUAAAAUACCCAAAUCGGCCUAGAAACUCACUUUACUCGGUCCGUCACUAAGCAAACGCACCCCCCCUUUUCAAUUACCCUUCAUUCCCCAUCUCCCCCAAACCCUAAAGACGCCAACCUUCAUCCCUUUCUCUUUAUCACCCAAACGACCACCAACUCCUAGACCACAUGCCCAAACGACCAGCUCCAAAUGACCCUCGCCACUGACCAGAUCCACCCGUUCAGCUCACCGUCGACGAGCAUCACCUCCAGCCAAACGUCGGCCUCCAUCAAUAACCAAGGUCACUGACCAAACGAUCACACAAUUCCUUCACCAUACCAGCCUCACGCCUUCCAAACACACUGACCAAACGACCCUUCAGUCGUACAACAACCAUUGUUGCUGCUUCGCUUAUGCUUCCUCACCCCCAGCAGCAACCAAACGACCCUUUUCCAUUAUCGUCCAAACGACCACUGCUCGUCCUCAAUCCUUCAGUCGUCGUCUUUUGAGUUCAAGUCUGUCCGUCGGAAUUCCCAUUUUUCCGGCAAGGUCUGGUUCUGUUCCUAACUCCAAGGUUUGGUUUUGUUUACUUUUUGUUGGUUUUCAUUUGUUGCACGGUUCAAGUUUGGGUAGCUAUGGAAUAUUUUUUAUCUCUCUAAGGCCGGUCAGUCCAUUCAGCAUAUUAUUAGUGAUCAUUCAAUUUUUUUUAUCUAAGGUUAAUCGUUAUUUUUGUUCCAAUAUGGUUAGUUUGCUUCCUUGUAUAGGUGUGAAUCAAUUUUGACCUUAUUAGUUCAAUACAAUAGUUUUGAAUCAUUGAACCCUUGAUCUUGGUUGUAAUGAUGUUGGGUUUACUUUGAAGUUCGAUUGAUGAUUGAGUUUAGUGAUUUGAAUCUGCGUGUUUGUUCUGUUAAGUUUGUUUCUGGUAUGAAUCUGAUCUUGUUGACUUGUCCUAAUGUUGUUGAUUGGGAGUUAGUUUCAUGUGUUUAAUAGUCUAUUAUUAGGAGGAUUGGAUAUAGCUGAUGGGGUAGCAUGGUAAUUACAGUAAUCUCAAGGGGUAUUUUGGGGUUUUCAAAAAGAUUGAAAUGGUCAUAUUAGUGGUUUGUCCAGUAGGGUACUAAGUUGCCAUUUGAAAUAAUAAAUUGUUUAAGUGAUAGUGGGGAACAAAACAUAAUGGUAUAGGGGGACCACUAAGUCUAAAGUAAUACACUAAUGAAUUAGUCAAAAGAGGGGACAAUUUUAAGUGGGAUUGAAAGUUAAAAGACAACUAAUAGUGGAAGACUACUUUCUGCUUUUGGUAGAUCAAUUUGAGAAUAAUUAACUAUCCACUAAGGCCUAAAAAUCCAGAAAAGAAAAGAUGAUUGAAAAUUAGAGAAUGGAAUAAAAUGGAGAACGUUUUUCUUGAAGUGGGGAUCAGUUUUUAGGACUGGAUUUUGAAUGUAAAAAAUGGGUCAGAGAUUGAGAGAAAAACUAAAGAAAUUUGUUUUAUUUUACUACUGAAAUUAUUAUUAGUUACUGUUUUACUUGAGAGUUAGAGAACCUGAGAGUUUUCAUUGCAUCUCUUGGUUAAGUCUGUUUUGUUUCUGGUCUAUCUGUGUUGCUGUUUGGUACUUCUGAAUUGCAAUUUGUGGUCCUGAGUUUGCUGCUGGUUAAACAAAACUGUUCCAUUGGUUGUUUGCUGGGUUUUAAUCUGCCUAUUGCUGGUUGUUGUUGUUUGCUACUGUUCUACUAAUUCUCAUCUUCUUCUUCUCUUGUUUCCAAUAUGAGGUACACAACUGAUACACAUUGUAAGCUGAAAUAUUGAAGCAUGAAUGCAUAUAAAAUGGAAGUUGAAGUUUUAAUUUAACUUAUUCUUUUCUUUCCUCUGACUGCCGCCUAAUAUUGUUAUAUAGAACUCUGCCAUGUGAAAUGCAUAACUGGACAAUCUUUUUUUUUUAUAGUAGUUUAGCUGUGAACUUCCCAUGUAUGCUCUUAGAUAAAAAGGAUUGAUGGUGUAGUAAACAAUUUUCUGUUAUUUUAGUUUGCUUGUUAAGUAGCAUAUUUCAAACGCAUGUCAUGUCUUAGGCCAUUUUAAUUACUAGGUAAUCUAAGUUACCUCAUUUAACAGACUUCCUCUCUUAAACUUGCAACAAUUUGUUAAUUAAAUAUCAUCAUUUUUACAUUUCAGCUUUGCAAAACUGUGAACCUGUGUAGAAUAAAUUAACUAGGCCCAAUAUUUGAAUAAGAUGGCCCAGGUCCAGUUUAACACUACAUGAGUUGGACAUGGGCCCAUGUUGGCAAACGAACUGUCCAUAUGCACGCCUAUAUUCUGAUGUUUACAGACUUUGUUCGGAACUUGAUAAUAGCAAUUCUUAAGCAUGUAAUUUAAUUAGGUCUUUUUUCUUCUUUCAUUUUUAGAGACGAACUUAAUAGAAAAACGUAGUCACAAUAGGAUGAUCCUUUUAAAAUAAGCGAGAUGAGCCCGCCAAGUAGAACGCACAAGUUGCAGGGCCCUCAAUAAAUGAAUAUAAUGAUUGGAUAGACUUCGGGAUAGGCCGUUUAGAAAAUUUCACGGCCUUACUCAAAAUAAUAAUACGCUAGUAGCUUUAGGUGCGUCUUUAAUAAAUUACUUUCUUAAAUUUGGGUUUGUAUUUAUGUGACCCAAAUCCAAAUCUCAACGGAGUCGAAAUGUGUCGAUAACCAUGGGUACAUUGAUUGUGACGUGGUUCGAGAUGCGUUUUCAUAAUAUUGCAAUUCUUUGUUAAAACAACAACAACAACAACAACAACAACAAUAAUAAUAAUAAUAAUAAUAAUAAUAAUAAUAAAGUGGCAAAAGAGUUAUAACUUGCAUAUAAGUUCAUAUUUGUAUAAAAAUCAAAUAAAUAAUCUAAAUAUGACAGUUUAGCGACAAUGCUAGAACCACGAAAUUCGGAAAUGCCUAACAUCUUCUCCGGGGUUAACAGAAUUCCUUAUCCGGAUUUCUGGUGCGCUGACUGUUAAACAGAGUCAUUCUUUUCCCCGAUUCGGGAUUAAAACCGGUGACUUGGGACACCAUAAAUCUCCCAAGUGGCGACUCUGAAUCCUAAUUAUUAAGUCUCAUUUCGAUUGUCCUUUAAUUGGAAAAACUCCACUAUGCCCCUGCGGGCGCGGGUAAAAUGGAGGUGUGACAGACGAAUGUCACCAAACGUAAGCUCCUUAAAAUCUCCACUUUCUUUUAUUUUCAGAAUGCAUCAUUACUGUUCAUACCUCCCAUUUUACGUAGCUUAACUCAGGUAGAACCAUUUCGCCUAGGGGAUCCAGCUCAUAGUUCCGGGUAGAAGUAUUCUUCGCUUAGGGUGUUUUACGUAGCUUAACUCAGGUAGAACUGUUUCACCUAGGGGAUCCAGCUCAUAGUUUCGGAUAGAAGUACUCUUCGCUCAUGGUAUUUUACGUAGCUUAAAUCAGGUAGAACUAUUUCGGCUAAGGGGAUCUAGCUCAUAGUUUCGCUCAUAGUUCCAGGUAGAAGUACCCUUCGCUCUGGUGUUUUACGUAGCUUAACUCAAGUAGAACCAUUUUGCCUAGGGGGAUCCAGCUCGUAGUUCCGGGUAGAAGUACUCUCUGCUCAGGGUGUUUUAUGUAGCUUAACUCAGGUAGAACCAUUUCUUCUAGAGGGAUCCAGCUCAUAGUUCCAGGUAGAAGUAUUCUUCUCUCAGGGUAUUUUAUAUAGCUUCACUUAGGUAGAACCUUUUUCAACUAGGGGGAUCCAGCUCAUAGUCCAUGUAGAAGUACUUAUCGCUUAGGUUAUUUUAUAUAGUUUAACUGAGGUAGAACCUUUUCACCUAUAGGGAUUCAUCAUUUCAUCAAUAACACAGGGCGCCAACCCUAGUUAUAUUCCUUUCAGUAACAGGGCGCCAACCCCUAGUUACUUUGUUUUUUCUGUAAUACAGGGUGCCAACCCCUGGUUCCAUUUCAUUUCAGUAAUACAGGGUACCAGACCCUGAUUACAUUCCUUCCUAGUGAUACAAGGUGCCAACCCUUGGUUAGGUUCCUUAAUACAAGGUGUCAACCCCUGGUUACAUUUCUUCCAGUAGUACAAGGUGCCAAAACCUCGUUACGUUCCUUUCUAGUAAUACAGGGUGUCAAUCCCAUGUUACGUCCCUUUUUAAUAAUAUAGGGUACCAUCCUCUAAUUCCAUUUCCUUUGGUAACAUAAGGUACUAGCCCUCGUGCUUGCAUAUCCUCACAUAGCUAGUUUAUACUACUGCCUUUGCCUUCAUUUCAAUAAAUUAGAUACUUUAUAGCUUUCUCUAACUCACAAAAUUUUCCUUGUGCCAAACUGGGGUAGAAAAGUUUUGUUUGUUUUUUUUCAUCUUUGAUGGCGUUGCAGGCUCCGCCGUAUGGCACAAAUGACGACUAAAGCUUGCAAUUUUAGUUUCUCAUCAGAAGAAAGAAGUUUUCGAUCACAAGACAGUUAGAGUUAGCUUUGAUAAUGUGUCAGCAAGACCAACUUCUCAAGAUCCAUUUUCUUAUAUUCUGAUUCGGAAAGCAAGCAAUCGAGAAGGAGCCCUAAUCUUUUCUUCAAAGAGCAUCAAGAUCCAAUCUAAGGUCAAAACAAGGAGAAUGCCAAGAAUCAAGAUUUGGCUCCACAAGACAUAUAUAUAUAUAUAUAUAUAUAUAUAUAUAUAUAUAUAUAGGAAUUUCGUAACUCUUAGCUUGCAGGCAUAUGUAGUUCUCUUCUCUUUUCCUUUUGAUGUAACAACAAGUAACAAUAACAACAACAAUAGUAGUCUUAAAUCUAGUGUCCGGUAGUCUCAUGUCACGACCCUAGUUCAACAAUCGUGAACCUGUCAUGACGGCACCCAGUCUUUGCGACUAGGUAAGCCUGACACAUCGCCCAAAUUCAACAAUCCUUACGAAAAACGAUAAAUAAAACAUAAAUAGCAUAAGAUAAUGUAUAGAGUGCCGCUUGGCACACACAUGUCGACUCAAGAUAAUGUAAAAAAUUCCAAGACCCGGAAACCCACGGGAAACACAGGCUAAUAGUGAAAUAUAAUAUACGGCUCUAACAACCAGGAGUGUCUACAACUAGUGAGUACAUGAAUGAAACUACUAGCCUAAGGUAGAAUAGAAUGAGACUUUUCGGCUCUGCGGACGCGACAGAUGUAUACCUCGAAUCUCCAAGUGUAGCUGCGAGAUCACUAAUAGCGCUCACAGCCAGAAGUACCUGGAUCUGCAGAACAAAACUAUGCAGAAGAGUAGCAUGAGUACACCACAACGGUACUCAGUAAGUGCCAAGCCUAACCUCGGUUGUGUAGUGACGAGAAAGGUCGAGGCCCUACUGAGAUAAACAUAAGAUUAGAUAUGAAAUGAAUAGACAAUAGGAAAUACAAUAAAUCUCGAUUAUCUAACAAACAAUAAGUAGAACGGAAUAGGCUAGAAAUACAAUCUACGAAUACAAUAUCAACACUCAAAAUCAGGAUGCCACAUGUAGCUCCGGGAAUUGAACUCGCAGUCCAUUUUACAAUUAUCCGAGGAUCUCUAGGAAUCGAACCCGCAGUGCAUCGCCACAUAGAGCUCCGGGAAUUGAACCUACAGUCCACUCUACCAAUAUCCGAGGAACUCCGGGAAUCGAACCCGCAGUCCACUCUACCAAUAUCUGAGGAUCUCCGGGAAUAGAACCCGCACUCCAUCAUACCAAUAUCAGAGGAUCUCCAGGGAAUCAAACUCGUAGUCCAUCAUAUCAAUAACAAAGGAUCUCCCAGGUAUUGAACCCGUAGUCCAUCAUAUCAAUAAUAGAGGAUCUCCUGGGAAUUGAACCCGUAGUCCAUCAUAUCAAUAACAGAGGAUCUUUCGGGAAUUGAACUCGUAGUCCAUCAUAUCAAUAACAAAGGAUCUCCCGGAAAUUGAACUCGUAGUACAUCAUAUCAAUAACAAAGGAUCUCUCGAGAAUUGAACCCGCAGUCUAACAUAUCAGUAAACACAUCACAACAAUUCAAUAUUUUAAAAAAAGAAGCUAAGUACAAGUAACAUGUAAGUUGUAGAGUCUAGAAUGCUCACAAAAAAGGACAGAUAUUGCAAUUUAGUCAGUUACAGCAAAUAAGUUAAAACAUGCUUUCCUUAAGCUAAAACAAGUGAAAUUUGCAUUUUUGACAGUUAAUCAGUGAAGAAACACAGUCUAAAUAAGUCAAGUAAGCUGGAUUUUCAAGAACUAGCACAAGUACACGCCUGUCACCUCGCGCACAAGGCAUUUAAACAAUAAUAAAGAUAUCCUAAGGGGAGAGGUCCCCCACAUAAAGUUAGACAAGUCACUUACCUCGAAUUGGUACAAAACCAAUAAGAAACAAUGCCCUUGCCACGAGUAUCCGACUCCGAGUGGCCCAAAUCUAUUCAAACCAAUUACAUAUUGUAAAUAACAUCGCAAGUAACUAAUUACACUGUUAAAAUUAAAGCAGAAGCAUGAAAAUAUGUGAAAUGACCAAAAUGCCCCUCAGGCCAAUAUCUCGGAAUCGAAUAAUUUUACAUAUUCAGAAACCUGUACUCUUACGAGUCUAACCAAAUAAAAAUCUCCCAAAAUCGGAGGUCAUAUACCCCUUCAAAUCAUCAAAGUUAGGUCUAAAAAUUUUACCCCAAUUUUCAUUCAAAAUCCGAAAUUAAAGCUUGAAUUCGAGAUUAGAUUAGCGAGUAAUAAUCAUAAUGGAGUAAGGAAUUGCUACCCAAUGUUUGCCUCUGAAAAUCCCUCGAAAAAUCUCUCAACACCGAGCUCUCUAGCUUGAGUUUGAUGAAAAUGGAAGAAACCUCGUUUUUGAAAUAUUAAUGUAUGCCUAGGUAUUUAGUGAAUCGCGAUCGCGAAGAGAGGGAUGCGAUGGAGAAGAUUAAAAUAUAGUCUUCCAUAAAAAAGCCCUACACGAUCGCGGAAAAGAGCACGCGAUCGCGAACGAGGAUGAAAUGGCCAUACACGAUCGCGUAAGAAGGAAUGCGAACGUGAAGCGGGGAGAGGUAGAGUUACGCGAUUGCGAUUAAGGAAUUAGGGACCUUACCAGAUUGUACUAUGCGGUCGCGUGAAUUGGAACGUGAUCGUGAAGAAGGAAAAAUUGGUUUGGAACAACUGAAGAAUUCUGCAAUGUUUUCAACUCCAAAAAUGCUCCGUUGAGCAUCUGAAACACACCCGAGGCCCCCGGGACCUCAAUCAAACCUACAGACAUAUCCCAUAAUACCACUCAAACUUGUACCAAUCCUUAAACCAUCUAAAACAACCCCGGAAACUCGAAUUAAUCAAUGAUUUGAACUUAAAAACUUCAAAACAUAACCAAACUCUCGUUCGAUUCAAAACCUAACCAAAACACGUCUGAUUGACCUGAAAGUUUGCACGCACGUCCCAAAUGACAUGACGGUGCUAUAGAAACUUCCGGAAUCCCGUUCCGACCCUCGAAUCAAAAAUUCACUAUCGGACCGGAAACUUCAAAAUUCUAACUUUCGGCAUUUAUAGCCUAAAUGAGCAACGUACAUCCAAAAUACAUUCCGAACACGCUCCCAAACCCCGAAAUCAUCUAACGGGGCUAACGGAACCAACGGUUUUCCAUUCCGAGGUCGUCUUGACACUGUUCUAAUUAUGGACCCUUUUCCAACUCUUAAACUCUCAUUUAGGGACUAAGUGUCCCAAAACACUCCGAAUUCUAUUACCGAACAUCCCGACAAGAAAAAAUAGCAGAAAUGAACUUAGGGGAAGCAGAAAAUGGUCAAACGAGGCAUAAAUUCUAAUGUCCAAAAUACAUUUCGAACACGCUCCCAACCCCCAAAUCACCUAACGGAGCUAAUAGAACCAUCAUGUUUCCAUUCCGAGGUUGUCUUGACAUUGUUCUGAUUACACACCAUUUUUCAACACUUAAGCUCUCAUUUAGGGACUAAGUGUCCCAAACAUUCCGAGUUCUAUUACCGAACAUCCCAGCAAACCAAAAUAGCAGAAAUGAACUUAGGGGAAACAGUUAAUGGGGAAACGGGGCUUAAAUUCCAAAGACGACCGGCCGGGUCGUCACAUCUUAUCUAUCAAUUUUUUCGAGAACUAUACCAACCUGAUUCCUUUAUAGCCAGGGAUAUGUAGCCAACCUCAAAAGCAUGGUUCGAUUACAUUUUUCAAACAUGCUUUCAUCGGAGUGAUACACGAGCAAAAUUAGCUAUGCCAUUUAUUUUCUUUGCAUGAAACUCUUCAUGUUCUCGAGCAAAGAGGGGUAUCUGUAGAUAUCUAAUUUUUGCUCUUUCUUUUUCUCCUACAUUACAUUGUUUUCUAGGUUUAUUAAAUGUGGUUAUAGAAUUUAGCAUUAGAUUAUUAACUAAUUUGUUAAGGGGUUUAAGGGAAUGGAUUAAUGCCCAUUUUAGUUGACCUAUACAAAACUCAGGCAUAAUUGUUUAGCCCAAUUCGGCAGACCUAGUCCAGUUGAUGGUUGGCUAAGACCCGGUUCAAAAUGGCAUAGUUUCAUGUUUUAUCAACUGAAACCAAAACUCAAUCCCACUCAUCCAUUCCCUCAUGAUCCAACGGCUCUAAUUCAAUACACUUCCUAAUUAUUUAAAGCUUAGAAUCCCUGAAAAUUGCCCCCAUUAUCCCUUUAUUUCUUUCCUUCUUCCUCUCUUUUCACUCUCCCCUUCUCCUUCGAGACCUCGCCACCCGCCGCCCUGCUUCGCCACCAGCAAUCGCCUACUUACGGCAGCCGUCCUACAAACACCCCCAAAUUACACUGAUAUUCUCCUCUCUUCAUCAUCUACCCAUAUCUAAACCCCAAAUCCCCAAAAUCACCCCCAAUCUCCUAAAUCAACCUAAAUUUGAAUAAACCCUAGCUACCAGCACCCUCAAAUCCAGCAAGAUCUAACCUCCCGCACCCUGUAAUCCAUGCAUAAAUGGAUUGAUCUCGUUGAGAUAUAUCCUUUCCUAUAUGUUUCACCCCUAAAAUCCUUGUCGUCGUUGGCCAACCAGCCUCACUAUCGACCCUCCACUACUAUGGCACCGCUCCUCCUCUAUUAUAGCCUAAUUCCGACCCAAGAACACUCGUUUCCUUUAGGUAUGACACCAAGUUCAUUGAAUUUGGUGUCUACCAAAAUGAAAUAAGUGUUACAUGGUUAGGUAGCCACUUGUUGGCUUCUCUGACGUCUUCUUGAUCACGCCCAACUAUACUUUAUAAAAAGGACACACACACAUUGCAAAUAUAGUCUGGGUAUUAAUGCCCAGAGUUUCACUCAAAGGGCAUUAACUUAUCAAUUACUUUCUUUGGAUGUACUGAAUUCUAUGGAAUCAACUUCCCCAAAAUUUAUAAAUCACAGUUUAUGGUAUUAUUAAUAACUAAGACUGAAAGUAAAUAGACAACUGAAAACUAAUUAUGUUUGAGUUGUAAACAAUUUUGAGAAGGUUCUAAGGCUAUUAUUUCCCCUAUUGAUGGAAUCCCUUCCGGUUAUGUUUCAUAUAAAUUAACCAACACAUCUCUAUUAAUCAUGAGCACUAUAUUGACCGUAAAUAUCUCCCAAAUAAUCAGAAUAAUAUACUAGACGCACUCUCCCGAGAUACGCUAGCUAGCUUAGUUCAUUACAGCUCACGUUAUAUUUCACCCAAGGAUUUAUUAUCCCUAAUCCCGCCUUUAAACUCGCAGUUAUAGAUCUUUCUCAUACUUUGGGAGUGAUGUUAUUCAACAACUACCUAAAUAUGCACUCUCUCCCCAGUUAUGCACACUAAAUAGGCAUAGCUAAUCCCGCCUUCAAUAGGUUCCAUCAAAACCCUAGACAAAGGAUUUAGCUACUCGUAACAAAGUAAGAGAAAAAUACUAAAUUAUUCAUGAUGUAAAUAUUGCAAGAAAUAAAAAAGAUAAAGAACUAUAAUGUUUUUGGGUGAUCUCUCACACUUGUUCCUCCUCCAAACGUAAUCGAAAAACAUUUUUUUUAUCUUGGGCGAGUUUCAACAUGUUAUAAGGGUUUUACAUAAGUUUCCCUUAAUUGACACUUUGGCCCCCAAAUUUCCAGGUUCAAGAACAGUUCACCGCGGCCGGCGUGGACGACGGUGCACACUUCCCAGCUUAUUUUUGUGUUUUAUCUCCGUGCGCUGCACCGAGGUCGCGGUGGACUUUUGCCCUGGUCAUUUUCUUCUGCUCAUUUGUGUUCGUGUACUUCUUGAGUGGGUGUUUUCCUCACAUUAUCACCUCCAAACACUUCAUGUUGCUUCCUCACAUAUAAUAUUCCCUGCGAAACCGAAUAACACUAUUUAGAGCAUUUUGUUGACAAUUUACCUUAUAAAAAAACAAUAAAGCAAGAGCAAUUAAGGAGUAAAUAUCAACUAUAUAGCCUACUAUCGCUUCUGGUGGCUCGAACAGCUUCAAGCACGCUCGAUAGACAUAACAGUCAUCUCUUUAAUUUAUUUCUAAUUUUUUAGUAGUAAUAGGUCAGUUCCUGAUUUUUAGUAGUAAUUAGUUAUCUCGAUUUGAUUAAGUUGUUAGUUAGAUUGUUAUUGUUUAACGUGAUCUUUAGUUUAUUAGUUAAAUUGUUUACUUAAUUAAUCGAUUGUUUAGCUGUUGAACGUCAUCGUUCGAUUGUAAGUGAUGCUCGUCUAAUUUCUAUUUUUAGCAUUAGUUUGUGAAUUCAGUUGUUUGUUCUAUGGUUAGUUUGUACAAAUCAAUUUGUUUUAAUCUAGUUAGUUUGAGUUUUAGUUCCAUUUGAAGUAUUGUUUUUGUUUUGUCAAUUGUUAGUUGUUUGAGUUUAUUUUGGUUCAAAAUUAACACGGUGUUAUUGAUGUUGUUAAAAUAUGAAGUUUAGAUGGGUUUGAUCAUGACUUAGAGUAAUAGUAGCAUACGUUUUACUAGUAGGGUGGUUGAAAUGUCUCUUUGCUUCUGCUACAGCAGGUUUUCAAGCUGUCCGUUCAGCUUUUGGACAACCUUUGAACAAUGUAUAACAUAGAAAGUUAGUCCUUGUUGGAAAAACUUUUUGUGAACCAAUAUCUGUCCAAAAAAUGACUUUAUUUACCUAUUUAAGGGGCCUGCUCUUCCUCACUUCACACACACUCUAUCUUACACUUACACACUUCUCUAGAAUUGCUUGAACACCCAUCUUUGAAUAAAAAAUCAGCAGUUGAUUACUUUAGUAUGUUGAAAUUUGUGAGCUUUGUGAGUAACUCCUAGAGUGAAAAAUCAUUAAGAAAAUAGAGCAAUCAUUUGUCUAAGUUAUGAGUUUGUUAGUUACUAGUUUCAAGUGUCUUCACGCGAUUUUCUCAGUUGUUUCUAACACUGAUUUGCUGCUGGUUGUUACUAUUUUUCUGCUAUUUUUGCUGUUGUUUAUGCUCACUUCACUACUAUUUAUUUUUCUAUUCUCCAGGUAAUCCUUUAAGACUCGUAAUGUAUAUCUUCUCAGCAAUAUGAACAACUUGAACCUGCUGCACUAUUUAAACGUAUUUGAUAUGAUGAUAGUUUGAUAUCGACAAGGGCUUGGAUGUUCUUGUUAUGUAUCAAGCAUGUAAUAAUGUGAAUAUAGUCCUUUAUAAUACUUGAAUAUCGAGUUGUGAGCUUUUGAGUAUGAUAUGUAAGUCUUAUAUGGGGUUUUCAGUAUGCUUUCAAGCUAUUGUAUUCGGGUAAGAAUGCUAAGUAUGCAAUGAAUGAAUUUAAGGGUAUGACACAUAGCAUGUUUCUUUUUAGUUGCUAAAAUUACACUGCCGAUAUAUGUUUAUGGGAAUGCUGUAGUGAUAUCCUUGUGAAUUUGACUAUUUUUCCGGACUUGCAAAAGUUGCUAUUUUUUAAAGUGGGCGUUUAUACAAUUGUGACUAUGUAGUUAGUGGUCAUUAAUGCAAAUUGAGUAAAGAGCUAAGAUUGUAUAUUGUCUGACUUAUUGAAUCAAAUCAAAGCUGGCCUCAUUUACCUUUAAAAAACAAAAUUUCCCCUUUUCUUCUAUAUAGCUAAUUGGCCAAAUGAAUCCAUUCCGUUGGCUCAUUUUCAAUAAUAAUUCAGCUAUCCCAUAUAUUUUAGUAUUUCCAACUGGGCCAAUAAUAUUCUAGUCUACUAGCUUCCCAUUCUUUAAUGAAUCAUUAAAUUAACUCAAUGCCUUGCAAUAUCAC
rnacentral:lncRNA from 1 species